rnacentral:rRNA from 1 species
UACGUAGGGUGCAAGCGUUGUCCGGAAUUAUUGGGCGUAAAGGGCUCGUAGGCGGUCCAUCGCGUCGGGAGUGAAAAGCUGGGGCUUAACCCCAGUCCUGCGUCUGAUACUGGAUGGCUCGAGAUUGGGAGAGGGAUGCGGAAUUCCAGGUGUAGCGGUGAAAUGCGUAGAUAUCUGGAGGAACACCGGUGGCGAAGGCGGCAUCCUGGACCAACACUGACGCUGAGGAGCGAAAGCCAGGGGAGCAAACGGG